AUCCAGCUGACGAGUCGCGAAUAGGGUGAAACGUGCGUCCUGGAC
rfam:Schistosoma mansoni strain Puerto Rico chromosome 1, complete genome